rnacentral:lncRNA from 1 species
UUUCACGUGACACACACAAAUGAUCUAAAUUAAUGGCAGCAGCUUAAAAGUACCAAAGAACCAAUGCCAAUUAUGCCAUUACCAUUAAACCAGUAAGUAAUCGUUUGUAUAAAUCCUGUUUUUAUUAUUCAACUCACUCUUCCAGAUUACAUAUUAUUAUGGUUUGUGAAUAAUCAAUCAUCUACCAACCUCACAGUUUAGUUGACGGUGAGCUUUCCGACCAUACCAGCUCCCUGGUGCGGCACACAGUAGAAACUGUAAGAGCCUGGCUCUGUCAACGUAACCUCGUACGUCUCUCCCGCACCAUUGAGAAGCGCUUGCUCGUCCAUCGAGAUCUUGCUCGCG